rnacentral:rRNA from 1 species
AUAGAGGCCUACCAUGGUUUUAACGGGUAACGGGGAAUUAGGGUUCGAUUCCGGAGAGGGAGCCUGAGAAACGGCUACCACAUCCAAGGAAGGCAGCAGGCGCGCAAAUUACCCAAUCCCGACACGGGGAGGUAGUGACAAUAAAUAACAAUACGGGGCUCAUUUGGGUCUCGUAAUUGGAAUGAGUACAAUUUAAAUCUCUUAACGAGGAACAAUUGGAGGGCAAGUCUGGUGCCAGCAGCCGCGGUAAUUCCAGCUCCAAUAGCGUAUAUUAAAGUUGUUGCAGUUAAAAAGCUCGUAGUUGAACUUCGGGGUUUACCCAUUGGUCAGGCUUAAUUGUCUGUACUGGUGAGAUAAAUCUCUACCUUCUGAGGAACUUUCAUGUCAUUAAUUUGGUGUGAUUGGAAAUCAGGACUGUUACUUUGAAAAAAUUAGAGUGUUUAAAGCAGGCUAACGUCUGAAUACAUUAGCGUGGAAUAAUGAAAUAGGACGGAUUGAUUCUAUUUCGUUGGUUUCUAGGAUCACCGUAAUGAUUAAUAGGGAUAGUUGGGGGCAUUAGUAUUCAAUUGUCAGAGGUGAAAUUCUUGGAUUUAUUGAAGACUAACUACUGCGAAAGCAUUUGCCAAGGAUGUCUUCAUUAAUCAAGAACGAAAGUUAGGGGAUCGAAGACGAUCAGAUACCGUCGUAGUCUUAACCAUAAACUAUGCCGACUAG